GGUGAAAAUUUAGCCACGGCUUGAUUUUGAAAAGUGAUGAGGUAUUUCCACGCCAUCGACCAGGCUUAAUCGAAAGUGAACAAUUCUAAGGCAUCAUGCCGAAGAUCUUUUGUCUUUCUCCACGUGAUCGCUGCCGUGUCAUGAAGAUGCUUCUUUGAGAGGGUCUAUUGCAAGACAAAAAUGUGAUGAGAACAGGAAAUCUGAGUUGGUUAUAAACUUAUAAUGUACUUUAAAGAUAAAUCAAGUAGAGUUCAAGCUGCAGACGUGCCGGCCAGUUUGCAUGUCCUUCGCGCUUGAAGGUCACGGUGAACAUUACGUGUAAAACUGUCAAUGCGGUGGUGUAG